CCGGGAACCGGGGCUAAUACCGGAUGGUUGUUUGAACCGCAUGGUUCAAACAUAAAAGGUGGCUUCGGCUACCACUUACAGAUGGACCCGCGGCGCAUUAGCUAGUUGGUGAGGUAACGGCUCACCAAGGCAACGAUGCGUAGCCGACCUGAGAGGGUGAUCGGCCACACUGGGACUGAGACACGGCCCAGACUCCUACGGGAGGCAGCAGUAGGGAAUCUUCCGCAAUGGACGAAAGUCUGACGGAGCAACGCCGCGUGAGUGAUGAAGGUUUUCGGAUCGUAAAGCUCUGUUGUUAGGGAAGAACAAGUACCGUUCGAAUAGGGCGGUACCUUGACGGUACCUAACCAGAAAGCCACGGCUAACUACGUGCCAGCAGCCGCGGGUAAUACGAAA
rnacentral:rRNA from 1 species